rnacentral:miRNA from 2 species
UGUCCCGGCUGUGAGUAGCGU